AAUAUUUAUUUUAACCUUUUAACCAAUGUGUGCACUCAGUGGCAUUCAAUAUAUUCACAGUGUUGCAUAACCAACACUACUAUCUACACCUGAAAUUUUGAUUAUUUCUAACGAAACCUUGAAGAAGCCCAGCCAGGGCCAACCGGAAGGGCCUUUUGGUGAAGUCUGACAUCCUACAUUAGUUUCUCUGGACCUGGGUGAGAACCGGCCCCCAGGGGAAGGACUGUUUUGCCAGCACCAACUCUCCAGCUGGGCUGUUGGUGGCUAACGCAGUGAAACCCUGUCUCUACUAAAAAAUAGAAAAAAAUUAGCCAGGCGUGGUGGCGGGCGCCUGUAGUCCCAGCUACUUGGGAGGCUGAGGCAGGAGAAUAGCGUGAAGCUGAGGUGGGUGGAUCACGACGUCAGGAGUUCAAGACCAGCCUGGCCAAGAUGCUGAAACCCCGUCUCUACUAAAUGUACAAAAAUUAGCUGGGCAUUGUGGCACGCGCCUGUAAUCCCAGCUACUUCGGAGGCUGAGGCAGGAGAAUCGCUUAAACCUGGGUGCCAGAGGUUGCAGUGAGCCAAGAUCAAGCCACUGCACUCCAGCCUGGGCAACACAGCAAGACUUCAUCUAAAA
rnacentral:lncRNA from 1 species